rnacentral:rRNA from 1 species
UACAGAGGUCCCAAGCGUUGUUCGGAUUCAUUGGGCGUAAAGGGCUCGUAGGCGGUUUGUCGCGUCGGGAGUGAAAACCUCGGGCUUAACUCGGGGCUUGCUUUCGAUACGGGCAGACUGGAGGUAUGCAGGGGAGAACGGAAUUCCUGGUGUAGCGGUGAAAUGCGCAGAUAUCAGGAGGAACACCCGUGGCGAAGGCGGCUCUCUGGGACGGUACUGACGCUGAGGUGCGAAAGCGUGGGGAGCAAACAGG